rnacentral:rRNA from 1 species
UACGUAGGGUGCAAGCGUUGUCCGGAAUUAUUGGGCGUAAAGAGCUCGUAGGCGGUUUGUUGCGUCGGCUGUGAAAUCCCGAGGCUCAACCUCGGGUCUGCAGUCGAUACGAGCAAACUAGAGUGUUGCAGGGGAGACUGGAAUUCCUGGUGUAGCGGUGGAAUGCGCAGAUAUCAGGAGGAACACCGGUGGCGAAGGCGGGUCUCUGGGCAGUAACUGACGCUGGAGGAGCGAAAGCCGUGGGGAGCGA